rnacentral:snoRNA from 1 species
GGCCGGUGAUGACAAGACCAUUGUCAUACUAGAUAUUGAUCAUAUGAAGUAUGUAAUGUAAUAUUCUGCUUCUCUGAGGCC